AUUGAACGCUAGCGGGAUGCUUUACACAUGCAAGUCGAACGAGGGGCGGACGGGUGAGUAAUAUAUCGGAACGUGCCCAGUAGCGGGGGAUAACUACUCGAACGAGUGGCCAAUACCGCAUACCAGUGGAUCUGCCGAUAUCGGAUUAGCUAGUCGGUGGGGGAACGGCUCACCAAGGCAACGAUCCGUAGCUGGUCGGAGAGGACGACCAGCCACACUGGGACUGAGACACGGCCCAGACUCCGACGGGAGGCAGCAGUGGGGAAUUUUGGACAAUGGGGGAAACCCUGAUCCAGCCAUGCCGCGUGUGUGAGAAGGCCUUCGGGUUGUAAAGCACUUUUGGUAGAGAAGCGGUAUCUACAGAAUAAGCACCGGCUAACUACGUGCCAGCAGCCGCGGUAAUUC
rnacentral:rRNA from 1 species